rnacentral:lncRNA from 1 species
GCAAAAUAUGAUAGAUAACUCAAUUUGAAUCAACAAUUAGUUUAAUAAAGAGAAUUAACUCAUAAGCACAAAAGGUUCAAUUGUAUUCUUACUUGAAAAAUUAAUUUAUGCCAAAGUUAAAGACUAGAAAUCUCAAGUUAAACAUCAUCCUUGAUUACAAAACUGAGAAAGGAAUGAGUAAAGAGAAACUCAGUUGAAUUAUUCUUUAAUAUUCAAACUUUGUCUUGCUCUUCCUUUACUGUUCCUUUAAAUCUCUAAUUCUCUAUCCCAAUUCAACUUGUGUCUUAUUAGGGUUUAAGCCUCCAUAUAAAAAGCUAUUUAUAGCCUAUCACAACAAUCCCAAAGUCUUAUUAAAUCCCCCCCUCCAAAUCUCUGAUGAAAAAUCUAACUUGAAACUGAAAUUCUGUUGAACUGGUCCCGACCUGACACUGCCUCACCAGAUUUCUUCUUUAAAGCGACGCUGUCACGCCAUGCAUCUUAGUCCCUCAUAAAAUCUCUGGUAGGGUAACGUUGCCGUGUUGCUAUUGGCGCUGCCGCGCCGACCAUAUCAACACUUCCAGCCAAACUCUGAUCAGGCCACGCUGCCGCACCAUUCUCUUUGAAAUCCUGACGUUGCCGCGCUAGGUCAUCAGAGUUUCUACUUCGCCCUAUUUUAAUGCUUUUUGCUACCUUUAUUCCUUAUUUGCUCCCAAGCCCUCUUCUUGUUAAAGUUUCCUGCAAAAGCACACAAAAACAACUAAAAGCAACCAUAAUACUUAAACACAACAAUCAAUUAAAGCCUAUGUGUAAAUUGUAGGUACAAAACCUACUCAUCAAUUGUUCAUGCCGCUGUAGUUAUUUGUUAAAAACUUAUAUCAUCUAUUAUAUGUUUUAAAUAUCUGAUUUAUUACUGUUGAAGACUAUUGAUAAAUUACUUAUCUUAGUUAUGAUAUUUUUUACUGAGAUAUAUGUGCUCACCCUUUUGCUUCACAAUUUUUUUUCAAAAACAAGACUGUAAUUGAACUAGUGGGGAGAGUAGAAAAAUAGAGUGAUGGUCUUGGUUGUCCUCGUCAAGUUAUAAAAUAAUAUGACAAUACUGAGAACUUAAAAUGUGUGUUGCCGUAUUUUAUACGACAUUAUAAUAAUUUGAAUACUAAUAUUGUCGUGUUAUAUACGAUAUUGUAAUAAUUUUAAAUAAGAGAAUUAUGAUUGUAGUACAUAUUUUGACGACUCAAAUUGAAUAGUAUAAACCUAAAUUUGAAAGUGUCACACUUGACAAACUUAUAUAUGUAAUUAUAUUAAAUUACGUAAAACCACAUUCAAUACACAUUAGAUGUAAAACUUAAUUCCAUUGUUAUUGCAUUUCAACUCAUAAUUAGGUCAAACUUAUCUCAAUUUGAGCCAAAACCUACAUUUAAACACCACAAACUCAACUUUAUGAUAUUAACACUAAAUAUCGUAUUAUACUAUAUGACUUUAUGAUAUUAACACUAAAUAUCGUAUUAUACUAUAUGAUUGUAAUGGAUGAAGAUAAAAAUUGAAAAAAAGAUAAAUCUUUUAUAUAACCCCAAAAAGACGAGUUGAAUUAGCAAAUUAAAUUACAUCUCAUAAAAAAAACAUGUAUGCACUUUUCUAAAACUUGUUAGAAAAAAAAAGUUUACGGGAUAUACUCCAGAGGGUAUAUAAGUUAUAUACCUUAGUUUUUAAAAUUUAUUUAUAUCAAGUUUUUUGAUAAAAUUUAGCCGUACGGAUGAAAAAAUCAUACAAAAAUACGAGUAAACGUAUAUUUUUAUUCAAUUUGAAGUUGUACAACACAAUUAUUAUAAUAUUAUAAAAUAAGUAUAUUUUUAAGCAACCAAGAUUAAGUGAACUUUCAUUACAAUAAAAUCGAUAAUGGACAUCACUAAAUUAUAUAAAAAUUUAUAUGUUUAAAUAUUUUUAUAUAUUUUUUAAAUCCGUAAAAAAACCCUAAAAAUAGACGUUAACCAUAUAAAGUAUACUAGUUAAAUAUCCUGAAGGUGUGGGGUAUAUUAUUUUUUCACAAAAAAUAUAAACACAAAAAAAUAAUUAAAAGAUAUUGCUAGAUUAAAAAAUAAAUAAAAAACCCAACCUUAAAGUCAAAGAGGACAAAAUAAUUAAUUAAUCCCUAAAAUAUAUUACUCCAAAUCUCCGAUUUAAGAGUUUGAUUGCAAGUUUACCGUAGUAAAUGACCCCAA